GGCUGACGUCAACCGCGCAGCUUAAUCGAUUCGUCAUCUUGGUGCAGUGCGGACGUCUGUGAUGUGAUGUGCUAGAAGUUCUACAAAGUUCUAUUGUGCCUGGUCUGUCACAGUCCCAUUGCGUUUCGCGUGGGUCUGCGACAGACGGCCGCCAUGUUGGCUGUCCGAGGCGACGCUGCUAGCAACAAUGGGUUUGUAACGGUAUCAUGCAUUUAUUUAGUUUAAUUUUAUUUUGAUGUGUUCACUGUUAGUUAAUAUUUCAGUUUUCUAUUGAGAGAUAGUUUAUUGGAAUUAAAGUUUUAUUCAUAUUGAAUAAGAAAUUGUAACAUAUGUUUAAGUAUGAUAAUAAAAUGAAUUUUAAAAAGAAUUGCAUUUGCUGAUUUUAUUUCAAAUCUCUUUACUUUUUUUGUUUAUUGGAAUUUCACCCGCCGAUGUAUUAUUCCAUGAGUCACCACCGACUUCAUGAAGAUCUACGUAGCCGACGGCGUGACGUGUUCGAGGAGAGCUGCCUGCGACGAUUCUACGGUUCCUGGUUUGCGAGACUGCCAAUUCAGCUCCGGCAAUGCGGCCGUGCACCGAAAUAACUGCGACUUACGCUUCCAAUCCGGUAUCAGCCCACAUUAGGUAAACGUUAGGCUGUUGCGUCAUAAUUUCAUAACCUAUAACCAAUAUUGCGCCCCACGCGGGCAUUUGGCAUGUUUGUUGUUCUUUUCGAGCCUCAGAUCCUCUGUCUAAAUCGCUGAUGUGAGUCAGCACGGAUUCCCGACUCCGCUAACUCGCCUGGAGUCUACACCGCUCGGUCGCCCAGCAGGUUUGGGCCUGUGUGCUGGCUGACAACUCUUCCGUGAUGAAUGGCGUGUCUUGGCCGUUCCGGUUCAUGCAUAGGUGGUUUGUUCACACAGUUUUGCGUCGGUGAGUCAACUGCUAUACAGAAUAAGCUAUGAUUUCAUUAUUGCCCUUAGCAUACAUUUUGCACUGUGAAUACAGUGUUGGAAGGACAAAGGGCAAUAAUGCAAAACAUUCACAUUAUUAUCUGUUGUUGAGUUAGUCAUCUAUGACCUUAUUAUUGUUGCCCGUUAAGAUAUAAAUUGUCGUUACUUGUAAAUAAAAUGAAGGGCAAUGUUGUGCAAUAACAUUGAAUUUAAACAGGCCUCGUACUAUGACAUGAACCUUGGAACAGGCACACGCAGCGAAGUUAAAACUAUAUCAUCCUGCCGAAGAACAAAGCAACAUUUAUGACGAACGCCGCCUCUAGCCUAAAUAGGUAAAAAAAUAGCCUCAUAAUACUAGGAAUUUAUUACUAAUCUUGAAAAUUUAGGAAAUAUCUUCGAACUCUAGGAAAUAUGAUGCGUGGGCUGAUUCUGAUCUGGAAGCAUAUCGGAUGGAAACGUUACUAGUCAGUAUACGAAUAUAACUUAUCUUUUAUCUAUUGAAAUGAUCACAUACUCUUAUAAUUAUGAUACCUAUGAGAAAUUGAAGGGGAGAUAUAACUCUUUAAAAUGAUUCUUUAAAACUUAAGAUACGCAAUUACAAACUUAUGAGUUUCUUACCAGUUGAGAAUUUCUAAGUAGUUCUCAAUAACAACUUUAAAGUAAACAUAAAUGUAAUCAGAGAUGUAAACUUCACAGCUAUCUACUGGGUGCAGUGAUGGUGAAUAAACGAGAUCGAUAAAGUUCUAAGGUGGAACCUUCGAGAAGGCUGACCUAUGGCUUUAUAAAGCUGUCACCGACACCCCUAUGGCGCAUUAAACCCAAAGUGUCUUCAAAUAUUUAGGGACAUCACAAAUGAGACGAAGAUCCGGGCACAAAGUAAAACGUGUUGUCCGGGCGUCUAGAACGAGUUUUAAUUUAAACCAACCUGACUGACGCGAGGCAGGUAAGUGGUCAAGUGGUAACUGAUGAUUCCGACGAUUUGAUCACUAAAUUUUAGAAUACCACUGAACCGAUUUCUAAAACGACAAACGUUGACCACUCUAGAAAUCUACGCAUAAAUUCGUAGAUUCCUAAAUCUUGCUUUAACUAUAAUAAAAGUCUACACAAAAGUUCGCAGAGGACUACUCAAUUUUUUCUAUUUAACAUAAGCUGUACUUUGAUCUUUGACUGUUGUGAUUUCACCUGCUUAGCAGGGUAGGGCGAUUAAUCGUUUGAAAGUUGAAAUUUCAGAUUUUUUAACAUGAGGUGUUCUAAAAACCUACUAUGACUUAACCCACAUGUUCUAUCACUUAUAUAUUUUGCAAUUUUAUUCAUAUAAUCACAAUGGAGGCUGCAAUUGGUUGCGAGGUCGAUGUUACCUAGAAUACACACUUCGUUAAGCGCUUACAAUUUAAGUACCUAUAUUAAACAAACCGACAGAUCAAUGGAAGGACAAAGGUAUUUUGCUGUAACUUAGCUCAAUUCGUGUCUUUAUAGAAUGCUAAAUGACUUGGUAUUAGAAGUAUUGCAUGUUCUUUGUUAGUGGGCGUGAAUUCGCCUUUGUUUCUCUUUUAAUAUGUUCAGGUAUACAAAGCCGGUGCACUGCGCGUGACGGCUUUGCUGACCAUCGUAACAAAUAGAGCAUAAUGCUGGCCAACUAAAUCGACUCCAAAUAUUGGAACCAGUACCAGAGUGCGUAUCUUGGUAGACGAGGACCCUAAGAAAACUUCCCAGUAGUUGCCCGACCUAAUCGAAGUGGAUUUGAAGGUUUAAAAUCUACUCUCAAGUUACAACAAAGCGUGAUGUUCGAUUGUUACCUUACCGGUCACAUGCGAAUGUAUGGAUUAAAAGUUACAUAAUGAUGUCAUGGAAACUGCUCACAAAAUACUUGCAAAACGUACCUAUGACGUAACCAACGGUUCUCCUUUCACAAUAUGUAGCGAAACAUUGAGUAUAAAGACAAUAAUAAUGGGAACUCUGCUGUACCUGCACAUUUAUUCUAUUGAAAGCAAUUAAUAAUGAAGCAAGGUGACAUAUUUGAAUCUGGAAAAUGUAGCGCGAACAAAGGACAUAUUAAUUUUUAUAAUACUCUGCACUCUGAACAAAGGAUGAUUUGUGUACCAAUUAGCAAUUAAAAUUCUGUUGCAACAUCAAAACCAUAAACAGACUGCAAUACUGUCUGAAUUAGGAAACUUAUCUGAUUAUGUAGGCUCCGGAAACGUGAUCAUCUUUGAACUGUGUUGUUGAUAUCACGGUGAAAACACUCUUAAGUGGAAACCUUCAAGAAGAAGCGUUGCCACAAAGCCCCAAUACAAGUUUGAACAAUCGCUUAACCUCGCAGACAAUUAGAACGGAUCGUGAAAUUAUUCGGAAUCUAAAAUCCGGUGUAGACUUUCGAAUGUUCUUCACACAAGAUCUCCCAACGCCCAAGUUUUAAGGUAAAAUGAAUGAAUAAACUUGAGGGUCUUGAUGGGAGGUAAGUGCCUUACCUGAUAUGAAAAUGAAUACAGUCAAUUGAAGUUAAAAGUUAAAAAUCUUUAAAUUAAAUCAUCAAAUAACUUUGAAGAAAAAAUUACAAAAGAAACUUUUCAUUAAGAUAUUUUAUCAAUGUAGGUCCAACUCGAUUUACCUAACUAAACAGUAUAACUAAGAUCAGGGUAGCCUAGAUAUUAAAAUCAGGUUUCCAGAUAUAAAUGCAAGCAGGAAAAUAAAAAGUAAUGAAAUACAUAAUUAAUUACGAAGAAAUAAAGACAGAAAAUGAACGAAAAUGACUAGGCAGAUAAUAUUAUAUUAACUCCUUUAAGAGAUGCUUCUUAUGGAGGCGAGCCAAUAUUGAAUGCAGCCACAUAUCUUUUCAACGAUCAUCAGGAAAUCUCGUUAUUAAUUAAAUCCAGAGCAAGUAGCUCGGCAAUUUCCGGAGUUUUAAUAAAUAUUACUAAUUAAUGACAGGAAUCUGCUAUAAUUACUUAGGGAUUCUACUUUAAAAUUAUAAAUUCACAUUCCCGGCGCCAAAUUAAUCAGAAGCAACAUACAAUAACAUAGUAAAAACGUUGAUAAAAUAUAAAAUAAAUAAUAAUAUUUUCCUAAGCCUAUCAAUCAAAAUAUCAAAAAUUUGAGGUAGAUCGGACAAAAAUAAUAUUUUCAAAGUAAAACUAUCGAAGGAAACUUAAAAGAUAUACGACUGCAUAUGUUUGAGGACGAGAUAUGUUUUAUUACUACCUAUUAUAUACUAUAGAUAUAACUUCCAUCUAUUACAUCAACAACAACAUGUAUAAGAAUGACCAUUAUUAUUAUGAUCCUUGAAAAUUCACCGAAUUGUAUCGAAGUUGAUAUUAAAGCCUCAUCAAAUUCAUCAACCACACUCCAUGUUCACUCAAAUGCCAAAGCUACGAUGAAAAUAACUUAGGAUAUAAAGGUCCUAAAGUUGGGAUGUGCUGAAAAAAAAUCUAUUCUUAGUCAAAAUCUAUGACUAAUUCUCAGAGGGAUUUUUCUACACCAUCCAGCUGAUCUUAUGAUAUUAAAAAACCACUGCAGAGAUGAUGAAAAGUCUACUAAAUUUUAAGAUCGCAUCAAAAUUACUCAAUGCUUGCACGCAUUAGGGAAAACUCGCGCCACCAAACUUUGCAAGAAUCCUAGAUGCAAAGUGUUGCAAAGCGGCCCUCCUAAAUGAGCCCAAGUAAAUACUGCAUAUAUUACUAUAGGCCUUGAUGAAAUGGAUUAAAAUGUAUAUUUUAUUCAUGACAUACAUUUUUAGGAUUUACACAGCGAUAAUGUAAAAGUUAACAGAAUCAUUUAAAUACAUAUUUAUAUAGAUGGAGUAAACUUUUGCGAAUGUGUAAUUUAAGCAAUUGCACAAUCUUAAUAGCUUCGCAAAAUUAUAUAAAGAAAUCAUAACGUCAUGAUUAACUCUGGUAUGAUUUACGAUCUGAAUAUAUUCGCGGGUCUGUAUUUAAGUAGUUAGAAGAUUUUUUCAAACCUUAUCAAAUUGUCUUUCGUAUGCUCGAUGUUAAGUUCUAACCUUGCAUUAGCUACUUUGAUUUUACGCUGCAGAAUUUGGUUUUUUAUGUUUGUGUGUAGUAUGUACUUCUGUGUGAAUGCAUAGCUAGUCGCCUGCUUGCGAAUCUCCUUCUGUAUAGGUCUCAUAGAAGUACCUGAACGCAAUGAUCAAGCGACGCUGUUAUGUUACUUCACGGAAGUAUGCUUGUACGAGAUCCCGUGUUCUUUAUCGGAAAUGGGCAUGAAACUGCUAUGGUCUGAGAUAUUUGUACACUAUUGAAGAUGAGCGAAGAAAGUGACAUUGCCCGAAAUAUUCUGAAUACAAUAGCGUUGAAAUAACAAGCCUAUAUGGUAGGGGCCGAAUAUUGUUGACUAUGAAUAGUCAGCACCUAUAAGCACAAAUAAGUCUGAAUCGUAAGGGAAACUAAAAAAGACGCGAACGCAAAAGUUCAAUUGAGGGUAAUAAAUAUGAAAUUUUAUGAAAAAACUGGCGUGGGUGCAACAUCUGAAUUAUUAUAAGGUAUUUAUAUAACAGCUUAGGACAGGACACUUCUAUGUCACAUUAUUCCUGUAUUAAUUUAUAACUCUAAAUGUAGUAGGUACACCAUCCUUUUAAA